rnacentral:tRNA from 3 species
UCCCUGAUAGCUCAGUUGGUAGAGCACACGACUGUUAAUCGUGUUGUCACUGGUUCGAGUCCAGUUCGGGGAGCCA